UACGUAGGGACCAAGCGUUGUUCGGAUUUACUGGGCGUAAAGGGCGCGUAGGCGGCGCGGUAAGUCACUUGUGAAAUCUCUGAGCUUAACUCAGAACGGCCCAAGUGAUACUGCAGUGCUAGAGUGUGGAAGGGGCAAUCGGAAUUCUUGGUGUAGCGGUGAAAUGCGUAGAUAUCAAGAGGAACACCUGAGGUGAAGACGGGUUGCUGGGCCAACACUGACGCUGAUGCGCGAAAGCCAGGGGAGCAAACGGG
rnacentral:rRNA from 1 species